GUGAAUGUUUUUUUCUACCAAUUCAUAUCAAAUUGCAACAUGGCCAAACAGGACACUUGAAGAUUACCUUCUACACCUGCCUGCAUGUAUUAUAGUCAGUUCUAUUUAAUAUGAAACCCAGACACACCAAAGUUUGGUAAUGACCAAUAUUAUUUGUUUUCAAGCUGGAUGAAAAGAUUGACUGGUUUAUCUUCCCAACAUGGAUACCAGGACAUUGGAUGGUUUGUGUAAGUAAUUCUGAAUCUGUUGUUUACCUGGGAUAACUUAUGUCUGCAUAAUUUUGAGAUACUUUUUGAUCUAUAAACUGCAGUUGUCUUCUUUCUGUGUAUAUAUGGUGACAUAUCAACAGAUUAUGAGCCCAGGGAGAGCAUGACAUUUUUUUCCUUGAUCCUCUGCACAUCCAAACAUUCAGUCAGGAAGAAUACAUGCUCAUCUACAGGUUUUAUAGUGCACUGUUCGGAGUUCAGAGAUUGUGGUCGUUCUUAACCACAUUUUAUAAAAUUGUGGUCAUUCUUAACCACAUUUUGAUAAGAUUGUGAUCAUUCCUAACCACAUUUUGAUGAGAUUGUGGUCAUUCCUAAGCACAUUUUAAUAAAACUGUGGCUGUUAUUAACCACAUGUAGGUUUAUCAGCUAGUGACUUGUUCAUCUGACUUUAUUUUUAGAGGGUUUAUUUAAAUGGUUUUGGAGUUUAUCAAAUUAUUUUUACAGAUCACUUUUUUCGUAAACUGUCAAUGAAAAUGGUCAUAUAAUAUUCAUGAGAAGUUCAGGUUCUGCCCCACUGUAACAAACAGACUCAGGGACAGAAGGUUAUAUUUCAACAGGUUUAUUAUAAAAGCAGGUUUGUAUGUGAAAAUGGUGAGAAGCAGGUGAGAGAGUCCGGAGGAACUGUUAAGCAGGGUUUGGAUGACUUGAUUGGAUAACGUCUUACUCAUGCUGUAAAGCAGGUAGGGUGACCGGAACGGAGGAUCCAUUGCACACACCUCAGGGUAACACUGGAGAGGAGAACUUGGAAGAGGAUUCGCUGGAGGCACACUGGAGAACACAGGAGUCUAGGGGAAUAAGGUUUGACAAAGAAGUAAGUAGCAAGGCUUGUAUGAGAGCCAAUACAAGUAUCUAGAUACUGGAGGGUUCUGCGUAGUAGCUACUAGAUCGGACAAUGAAGUGACUGCGGUAUGUGCUUAUAUGUGGUGGUGAGCUGAUGAGGUAAUCGUGAUCAGGUGCUGCUGAUUAGUACUCAGGUGAGAGGGUGCGUUGUGAUUGGCUGGGUGGUGAGCCUGACCGACUUGUGACACCCACAUUUCAGUUGUCUUGUAUUGUUUUGUUUGUUGCAGUGCAGUAACUGUUUUUUAAGUUAUGUUCUUUGUCAUCACAGAAACAUUGCACAAAUCUUGUCUCCUGGGCCUUGGCAUGAAUACUGUGUCAACAAUAUUACAGUACCAAUAUUCAUAACUGUAAAAGCAUUGGAAAUUGUUUUACUUUUUCAAGGUAGUUUGACUAUGUGCAUGGCAACAUCAACAGGGCCUUCCAUAACAACAUCUCAGCAACAACUGUGGUGUCUUUGUCCUGAUGUAUUCACUGAGCUUUGUGACUGCAGGGGCCUUUUACAGAGCCUGACAUGCCUUGCAUCAGGAAGUGGUGGUGUCUGCUGUUUUUGGAGAAUUUCCCCUUGAGGUUUGUUUUCUUUCUUUUAUUUUACAUUUUUGAACUUACACUCUAAUUUUUG